rnacentral:rRNA from 3 species
GCAUAUCAAGCGGAGGAAAAGAAACCAACAGGGAUUACCUCAGUAACGGCGAGUGAAGCGGUAAAAGCUCAAAUUUGAAAUCUGGCUCUUUCAGAGUCCGAGUUGUAAUUUGUAGAAGAUGCUUCGGGUGUGGUUCCGGUCUAAGUUCCUUGGAACAGGACGUCAUAGAGGGUGAGAAUCCCGUAUGUGACUGGAUACCUAUGCUCAUGUGAAGCUCUUUCGACGAGUCGAGUUGUUUGGGAAUGCAGCUCAAAAUGGGUGGUAUAUUUCAUCUAAAGCUAAAUAUUGGCCAGAGACCGAUAGCGCACAAGUAGAGUGAUCGAAAGAUGAAAAGCACUUUGGAAAGAGAGUUAAACAGUACGUGAAAUUGUUGAAAGGGAAGCGCUUGCAAUCAGACUUGCACUUGGUGUUCAUCAGGGUUUCGUGCCCUGUGUACUUCAUCAAGUUCAGGCCAGCAUCAGUUUGAGUGGUUAGAUAAAGGCUUGGAGAAUGUGGCCCUCUUCGGGGGGUGUUAUAGCUCCAGGUGCAAUGUAGCCUACUUGGACUGAGGACCGCGCUUCGGCUAGGAUGCUGGCGUAAUGGUUGUAAGCGACCCGUCUUGAAACACGGACC